AUUGAACGCUGGCGGCAGGCUUAACACAUGCAAGUCGAGCGGUAGCACAGGGGAGCUUGCUCCCUGGGUGACGAGCGGCGGACGGGUGAGAAAUGUCUGGGAAACUGCCUGAUGGAGGGGGAUAACUACUGGAAACGGUAGCUAAUACCGCAUAACGUCGCAAGACCAAAGAGGGGGACCUUCGGGCCUCUUGCCAUCAGAUGUGCCCAGAUGGGAUUAGCUAGUAGGUGGGGUAAUGGCUCACCUAGGCAACGAUCCGUAGCUGGUCUGAGAGGAUGACCAGCCACACUGGAACUGAGACACGGUCCAGACUCCUACGGGAGGCAGCAGUGGGGAAUAUUGCACAAUGGGCGCAAGCCUGAUGCAGCCAUGCCGCGUGUGUGAAGAAGGCCUUCGGGUUGUAAAGCACUUUCAGCGAGGAGGAAGGUGGUGAUCUUAAUACGUUCAUCAAUUGACGUUACUCGCAGAAGAAGCACCGGCUAACUCCGUG
rnacentral:rRNA from 1 species